rfam:Bacillus galactosidilyticus strain PL133 scaffold000123, whole genome shotgun sequence.
UCGACAACAUUAUAGUACACUCAUAUAAUCACAGGGAUAUGGCCUGUAAGUUUCUACCGAUUUACCGUAAAUAAAUCGACUAUGGGUGCAAAGCUUUGAAGA